rnacentral:rRNA from 1 species
UACGGAGGGUGCGAGCGUUGUCCGGAAUCACUGGGCGUAAAGGGCGCGUAGGUGGCCUGUUGAAGUCUGCGGUGAAAGCCCGGCGCUCAACGCCGGGUCGGCCGUGGAUACUCUCGGGCUUGAGCUUACUAGAGGCAGAUGGAAUUCCGGGUGUAGCGGUGGAAUGCGUAGAGAUCCGGAAGAACACCGGUGGCGAAGGCGGUCUGCUGGGGUAAUGCUGACACUGAUGCGCGACAGCGUGGGGAGCAAACAGG